CCUGGUCCUGGUCCUGGCUCUGGCCCUGGCCCUGGUCCUGGUCUUGGUCCUGGUCCUGGUCC
rnacentral:miRNA from 1 species